CGAGUGAGAAUGCCGGAAUGAGUAGCGAGAAUUAUGUGGGAAUCAUAAUGGCCGAAAAUCUAAGGUUUCUUGGGGAAGGUUCGUCCGCCCAAGGUAAGCCGGGAGCUAAGGCGAGGCCGCAAGGCGUAGUCGAUGCACAUACGGUAAAGAUUCCGUAGCCGCCGAACUUUAAGUCAGAGGGACACUUGCAGAUAGCGGAACCCAGCCGUUGGUUGAGCUGGGCGAAAGGGACUGAAAUUAGUAGGGAAGUCCGCGAUGCUGAAAGGCGAGAAAAGCUCUGAUGGAUACUAAGGCGCCCGUACCGCAAACCGACACAGGUAGAUGAGGAGAGAAUCCUAAGGCCAACGGGAGAAGGGUUGUUAAGGAACUCGGCAAAUUGACCCCGUAACUUCGGAAGAAGGGGAGCCCCGAAAGGGGCCGCAGUGAAUAGGCCCAAGCAACUGUUUACCAAAAACACAGGUUUAUGCUAAAUCGAAAGAUGACGUAUAUGAGCUGACGCCUGCCCGGUGCCGGAAGGUUAAGAGGAGAGCUUAGAGGCAACUCGAAGGUUUGAAUUGAAGCCCCGGUAAACGGCGGCCGUAACUAUAACGGUCCUAAGGUAGCGAAAUUCCUUGUCAGGUAAGUUCUGACCCGCACGAAUGGCGUAAUGAUUUGGGCACUGUCUCGACAGCCCGCCCGGCGAAAUUGUAGUACUGGUGAAGAUGCCAGUUACCCGCAACUAGACGGAAAGACCCCAUGGAGCUUUACUGCAGUUUAAUACUGGGAAUCGGUAAUGCAUGUACAGGAUAGGUGGGAGACAUGGAAGCAUGGUCGUCAGGUCAUGUGGAGUCACCGGUGGGAUACCACUCUUGUAUUGCUGAUUUCCUAACCUGCGGCCGUGAAUCCGGUCGGGGGACACUGUUAGACGGGCAGUUUGACUGGGGCGGUCGCCUCCAAAAGAGUAACGGAGGCGCUCAAAGGUUCGUUCAGCACGGACGGAAAUCGUGCAUUGAGUGUAAACGCAUAAACGAGCCUAACUGCGAGACCGACGGGUCGAGCAGUAACGAAAGUUGGAGUUAGUGAUCCGGUGGUAUGUGAGUGGAAAUGCCAUCGCUCAACGGAUAAAAG
rnacentral:rRNA from 1 species